GUGUGUGGCUCAGUGGUAAAGCACUUGCCUAGCAUGUGUGAGGCACUGGGUUCGAUCCUCAGCAUCACA
rnacentral:tRNA from 1 species